ACCAUGAGAGUUGGAAAUACCCGAAGGCCUGUGAGCUAACAGUAAUGAGGCAGNAGUCGAAGGUAGAGCCAAUGAUUGGGGUGAAGUCGUAACAAGGUAUC
rnacentral:rRNA from 1 species